rnacentral:rRNA from 1 species
AAUGCUAGGCGAACGUGGUUCGCCCACGUGCGAACAGCUCAGUAACACGUAGUCAACUUGCCCUCAGGUCAGGGAUAACCUUGGGAAACUGAGGAUAAUCCCUGAUAGGAAACAGGUACUGGAAGGUCCUGUUUCCAAAAGCUCCGGCGCCUGAGGAUAGGACUGCGGUGGAUUAGGCUGUUGUGGGUGUAACGGACCCACAAACCGAUAAUCCAUACGGGCGUUGAGAGACGGAGCCCGGAGAUGCGUUCUGAGACAAGAACGCAGGUCCUACGGGACGCAGCAGUCGCGAAAGAAGUCCUUUCUUCAAGGUGGGAAUCUUUUAGAAUUUCAGUUCUUUUGAUGAAACUUUUCUUUUGAAGAAAAGCUUCCGCGAAACCUUUACAAUGCCUGCAMGGGCGAUUVAKGGCAUCCUGAGUGCUUCCA